GUCUGUGUAGUGUAGUGGUUAUUCACAUUUGUCUUACAUAAUCUCGUUCGAGAACAAGUAGCACAAAAGGUCCCAGGUUCGAUCCCUGGCAUAGACA
rfam:Verticillium longisporum isolate VL1 genome assembly, contig: scaffold_8